UGCGGUUAUACAAAAAUUAAAUUAAAUUCUUUUAGGUUUUAAUAAAUAAAUAAAAUAAAAAUAAUUUAAAUAUUAAAUUAUAAGGUGAAAUUUAAAUUUAAUUAAAAUUUAUUUAUUUUUAUAACAUUAAUAAAUUUUAUAAAAAACUAGGAUUAGAUACCCUAUUAUAAAAAUUUAAAUAAAUAAAAUCUUAAAAUAGUAUAUAAUUUUUUAUAGAAACUUAAAUAAUUUGGCGGUAUUUUAGUUCAUUUAGAGGAAUCUGUCUAAUAAUUGAUAAUCCACGAUUAAAUUUACUUAAUUUAUAAUUUUGUAUAUCGUUGUUAAAAAAAUAUUUUUAAAUAAUUAUAAUAUUUUAAAAUUUAUAUAAAAGAUUAAAUCAGAUCAAGAUGCAGAAUAUAAUUAAGAAUAUGAUGGAUUACAAUAAAUUUUAUUUUAUUUGGAUAUUAAUUUGGAAAAAAUUAAUUGAAAUUGGAUUUAAAUGUAAUUUUAUUUAUUUUAUUAAAAUGAUUUAAAAUUAAAAUAUGUACAUAUUGCCCGUCGCUUUCAUUAAUAAAUUGAAAUAAGUCGUAACAAAGUAGAGGUACUGGAAAGUGUCUCUAGAAAGAU
rnacentral:rRNA from 1 species